rnacentral:rRNA from 1 species
GACGAACGCUGGCGGCGUGCUUAACACAUGCCAGUCGAACGGAAAGGCCCUGCUUGCCGGGUACUCGAGUGGCGAACGGGUGAGUAACACGUGGGUGAUCUGCCCUGCACUUCGGGAUAAGCCUGUGAAACUGGGUCUAAUACCGGAUAGGAGCCAUUUUUAGUGUGAUGGUUGGAAAGUUUUUUCGGUGUAGGAUGAGCUCGCGGCCUAUCAGCUUGUUGGUGGGGUAAUGGCCUACCAAGGCGGCGACGGGUAGCCGGCCUGAGAGGGUGGACGGCCAAAUUGGGACUGAGAUACGGCCCAGACUCCUACGGGAGGCAGCAGUGGGGAAGAUUGCACAAUGGGCGCAAGCCUGAUGCAGCGACGCCGCGUGGGGGAUGACGGACUUCGGGUUGUAAACUCCUUUCGCUAGGGACGAAGCUUUUUGUGACGGUACCUAGAUAAGAAGCACCGGCUAACUACGUG